rnacentral:rRNA from 1 species
UACGGAGGGGGCUAGCGUUGUUCGGAAUUACUGGGCGUAAAGCGCGCGCAGGCGGACCUGCAAGUCGGGGGUGAAAGCCCGAGGCUCAACCUCGGAACUGCCUUCGAUACUGCGGGUCUCGAGUCCGGGAGAGGUGAGUGGAACUGCGAGUGUAGAGGUGAAAUUCGUAGAUAUUCGCAAGAACACCAGUGGCGAAGGCGGCUCACUGGCCCGGUACUGACGCUGAGGUGCGAAAGCGUGGGGAGCAAACAGG